UACGUAGGGGGCAAGCGUUGUCCGGAUUUAUUGGGCGUAAAGAGCGUGUAGGCGGCUAGGUAGGUCCGUUGUGAAAACUCGAGGCUCAACCUCGAGCUGUCGAUGGAAACCAUCUAGCUAGAGUCCGGAAGAGGAGAGUGGAAUUCCUGGUGUAGCGGUGAAAUGCGCAGAUAUCAGGAAGAACACCCGUGGCGAAGGCGGCUCUCUGGUACGAGACUGACGCUGAGACGCGAAAGCAUGGGGAGCGAACAGG
rnacentral:rRNA from 1 species